rnacentral:rRNA from 1 species
AGAGUUUGAUCAUGGCUCAGGAUGAACGCUAGCUACAGGCUUAACACAUGCAAGUCGAGGGGUAAACGAUAUUGGAAGCUUGCUUCCGAUAGGCGUCGACCGGCGUACGGGUGAGUAACGCGUAUCCAACCUGCCCACCACUUGGGGAUAACCUUGCGAAAGUAAGACUAAUACCCAAUGACGUCUCUAGAAGACAUCUGAAAGAGAUUAAAGAUUUAUCGGUGAUGGAUGGGGGAUGCGUCUGAUUAGCUUGUUGGGCGGGGUAACGGCCCACCAAGGCGACGAUCAGUAGGGGUUCUGAGAGGAAGGCCCCCCACAUUGGAACUGAGACACGGUCCAAACUCCUACGGGAGGCAGCA